UACGGGGUGAGCAAGCGUUGUUCGGAUUUACUGGGCGUAAAGGGCGCGUAGGCGGCCAACUAAGUCAGACGUGAAAUCCCUCGGCUUAACCGGGGAACUGCGUCUGAUACUGGAUGGCUUGAGUUUGGGAGAGGGACGCGGAAUUCCAGGUGUAGCGGUGAAAUGCGUAGAUAUCUGGAGGAACACCGGUGGCGAAGGCGGCGUCCUGGACCAACACUGACACUGAUGAGCGAAAGCCAGGGGAGCAAACGGG
rnacentral:rRNA from 1 species